rnacentral:misc_RNA from 1 species
GGAAGGAUCAUUAUCACUAAUCCAAUUCAUCUUAACCUAGCCUCUAGUUGCAGCACGGGACCUCGCUAGCGAAAGCAGGCUUGGCUCUCAUGCUGCAUCUAUCAAAUCUAAUUAAACAAAGGACCUUUCACUAAGACCAAAUCUAAAAACCAAAUUCUCAACGAUGGAUAUCUUGGUUCCCAUAACGAUGAAGAACGCAGCGAAGUGCGAUAAGCAAUGCGAAUUGCAGAACCGUGAGUCAUCAGAUUUUUGAACGCAACUGGCGCUAACUGGAACCCCAGCUAGCAUGCUUGUUUCAGUGUCUUAUCAUCUCCUCACCCAAAUCUUAAUGCUGGAGAUACCCUUCUCUGGUUAAGUACGAAAGCACUCUGCGCUCUGCAAGCGGCUUCGGUCGCACUCAAUGCAGCAGUCACAUUGUUCUCAAUGUGAACUCAUUGAGAGUAGAGGCAGUGCAGCCAUGCUGCUAGUGCUUAGAGAAUCCAAACUCUUCUUUAAUCUGAAAUCAAGCAGGACCACCCGCUGAACUUAAGCAUAUCACUAAGCGGAGGAAAAGAAAUUAACUAAGAUUGCCUCAGUAACGGCGAGUGAAGCGGCAAAAGCCCAAACUGGAAAUCUUCGUGCCUCGUACGACGAAUUGUAAUCUAAAGGUGGGAAACUCACCUAGGGGAGGCGCAGAAGUUGCUUAGAAUAGCACGCCAAAGAGGGUGACAGCCCCGUAUGUGGUACCUCUCCUUAACGAGUUCCUUUCAAAGAGUCGGGUUGUUUUGAAUUGCAGCCCUAAGCGGGAGAUAGACUUCUUCUAAGGCUAAAUAUAUAUGGGAAACCGAUAGCGAACAAGUACUGUGAAGGAAAGAUGAAAAGCACUUUGAAAAGAGAGUCAAAAGACUUGAAAUUGUUGAGAAGGAAGGAGUAGAAACUAAUCAUUUCUCAAAAAUAUAUACUCCAUUAAUUUCGUCUGAGUUGUCAAAAUUAGCAAUAAAUUGUCAUUCUUCGGCAAAGAGAAAUAAGAAAUGGGAGCGAGAUUUUUGAGGAAAUGGCAAUAUGAGGUUCUAUAUCCACAAAAGCUUGGGGUACAUUCAUGCACUCCUCUGCUGGUGGGCAUAUUUCCUGAGGAGCUUAGUGCGAUAUUGCCAAAAAGGUUUUUACUCACCCGUCUUGAAACACGGACCAAGGAGUUUAACAAAUAUGCGAGUGUGCUGGUGGAUAAACCAACACGCGUAAUGAAAGUAAUAGAUGCCAAGCGCAAGCAGCAGCAUCGACCGACCAUGAUCCUCAGGUGAAAGGUUUGAGUAUGAGCAUAUCUGUUAAGACCCGAAAGAUGGUGAACUAUGCCUGGGUAGGGUGAAGCCAGGGGAAACUCUGGUGGAGGCUCGUAGCGGUUCUGACGUGCAAAUCGAUCGUCAAACUUGGGUAUAGGGGCGAAAGACUAAUCGAACCAUCUAGUAGCUGGUUCCCUC